CGAAAGCCUGACGGAGCAAUACCGCGUGAGGGAGGAAGGCUCUUGGGUUGUAAACCUCUUUUCUCAGGGAAGAACACAAUGACGGUACCUGAGGAAUCAGCAUCGGCUAACUCCGUGCCAGCAGCCGCGGUAAUACGGAGGAUGCAAGCGUUAUCCGGAAUGAUUGGGCGUAAAGCGUUCGCAGGUGGCGGUGUAAGUCUGCUGUUAAAAGUCGGGGCUCAACCCCGAACCGGCAGUGGAAACUACACGAGCUAGAGUGCGGUAGGGGCAGAGGGAAUUCCUGGUGUAGCGGUGAAAUGCGUAGAGAUUGGGAAGAACACCGGUGGCGAAAGCGCUCUGCUAGGCCGAAACUGACACUCAUGGACGAAAGCUAGGGGAGCG
rnacentral:rRNA from 1 species